GAAAUUUCACAAGAAGACAUUCCCAGCAGCUCUCUGAAUGCCCAUUGGGACACAAGAUGUUGCUUAUUCCAACACUUGAGACUGAAUUUGCAUUAAAGGCAUACUUGGAAGAGGAGCAAAAGGUGGCUUUAGUGUUGUUGAGAGAUGUUGGAAUAGAUAAAUCACUG